rnacentral:rRNA from 1 species
UACGUAGGGUGCGAGCGUUGUCCGGAAUUAUUGGGCGUAAAGAGCUCGUAGGCGGCCUGUCACGUCGGAUGUGAAAGCCCGGGGCUUAACCCCGGGUCUGCAUUCGAUACGGGCAGGCUGGAGUUCGGUAGGGGAGAUCGGAAUUCCUGGUGUAGCGGUGAAAUGCGCAGAUAUCAGGAGGAACACCGGUGGCGAAGGCGGAUCUCUGGGCUGAUACUGACGCUGAGGAGCGAAAGCGUGGGGAGCGAACAGG